rnacentral:tRNA from 1 species
ACUAUUUUGGCAGAUUAGUGCAAUAAAUUUAGAAUUUAUAAAUGUAAAUUAGUAAAUUACAAAUAGUA